CCUACGGGUGGCAGCAGUGAGGAAUAUUGGUCAAUGGGCGGGAGCCUGAACCAGCCAAGCCGCGUGAGGGAAGAAGGUACAGCGUAUCGUAAACCUCUUUUGUCAGGGAACAAAGGCGGGGACUAGUCCCCGGAUGGGGGUACCUGAAGAAAAAGCAUCGGCUAACUGCGUGCCAACCGCCGCGGUAAUACGGAGGAUUCCAGCGUUAUCCGGAUUUAUUGGGUUUAAAGGGGGCGCAGGCGGCCUGUUAAGUCAGCGGUAAAAGCCCGGGGCGCAACCCCGGCGAGCCGUUGAAACUGGCGGGCUUGAGUUGGAGAGAAGUACGCGGAAUGCGCAGUGUAGCGGUGAAAUGCUUAGAUAUUGCGCAGAACUCCGAUUGCGAAGGCAGCAUACCGGCGGCGAACUGACGCGGAGGCACGAAAGCGUGGGUAUCGAACAGGAUUAGAUACCCUAGUAGUC
rnacentral:rRNA from 1 species